rnacentral:rRNA from 1 species
CCAGACUCCUACGGGAGGCAGCAGUGGGGAAUAUUGCACAAUGGGGGGAACCCUGAUGCAGCGACGCCGCGUGGGUGAAGAAGUCAUUCGUGACGUAAAGCCCUAUCAGCAGGGAAGAAAAUGACGGUACCUGACUAAGAAGCCCCGGCUGACUACGUGCCAGCAGCCGCGGUAAUACGUAGGUGGCAAGCGUUGUCCGGAUUUACUGGGUGUAAAGGGCGUGUAGCCGGGAAGGCAAGUCAGAUGUGAAAUCCGGAGGCUCAACCUCCGAAUUGCAUUUGAAACUGUUUUUCUUGAGUGCUGGAGAGGCAGACGGAAUUCCUUGUGUAGCGGUGAAAUGCGUAGAUAUAAGGAGGAACACCAGUGGCGAAGGCGGUCUGCUGGACAGCAACUGACGGUGAGGCGCGAAAGCGUGGGGAGCAAACAGGAUUAGAUACCCCCGUAC